rnacentral:lncRNA from 1 species
AAACAGAUCUAUAGCAUCUCCCAACAUUUUUCUGUAGUGAAGAUGGAGAAAGUAAAACUCGGAUGGGUGUCAGGUGGCCCUACAUUUGCUCCCACAUUACAUUCUUUUCCUUCAAAAAUACUGACCUCCGAUUGAUCUGGGUCCUGGUUACACAGGCCCAAGGUCGUCUGCUUAAAGACACAAGGCCCAGAGCCCAGUCAUUCCUGCGGCCUCAGCCAACAGCCAGCCAAAUAAGGGAUCUGUUAAAGAGAUCAUUCUAGACGAGCUAGACUACAAAUUAAUUUCAAAUACAUGAACAAACCUAGGUAAGAUCAGGACUAUGGCCCAGUUGACUCAUAGACUC